AAGUCGUAACAAGGUUUCCGUAGGUGAACCUGCGGAAGGAUCAUUAAUGAAUAACUUUGGCGUGGUUGUAGCUGGCUCUUAGGAGCAUGUGCACACCCGUCAUCUUUAUCUUUCCACCUGUGCACACAAUGUAGAUCUGGAUAACUCUCGCUCUUCGGAGCGGAAACAAGGAUUGCUGCGUCGCAAGGCCAGCUCUCUUUGAAUUUCCAGGUCUAUGUCAUUACAAACCCCAAUUGAAUGAUGAAGAAUGUAGUCAAUGGGCUAUAAGCCUAUAAAACACAAUACAACUUUCAGCAACGGAUCUCUUGGCUCUC
rnacentral:misc_RNA from 1 species